rnacentral:rRNA from 1 species
AACGAACGCUGGCGGCAGGCUUAACACAUGCAAGUCGAGCGCCCCGCAAGGGGAGCGGCAGACGGGUGAGUAACGCGUGGGAAUCUACCCAUCUCUACGGAAUAACGCAUGGAAACGUGUGCCAAUACCGUAUACGUCCUUCGGGAGAAAGAUUUAUCGGAGAUGGAUGAGCCCGCGUUGGAUUAGCUAGUUGGUGGGGUAAAGGCCACCAAGGCGACGAUCCAUAGCUGGUCUGAGAGGAUGAUCAGCCACACUGGGACUGAGACACGGCCCAGACUCCUACGGGAGGCAGCAGUGGGGAAUAUUGGACAAUGGGCGCAAGCCUGAUCCAGCCAUGCCGCGUGAGUGAUGAAGGCCCUAGGGUUGUAAAGCUCUUUCACCGGUGAAGAUAAUGACGGUAACCGGAGAAGAAGCCCCGGCUAACUUCGUGCCAGCCGCCGCAGUAAUAC